UACGGAGGGUGCGAGCGUUAAUCGGAAUUACUGGGCGUAAAGCGUGCGUAGGCGGCUCGUUAAGUCAGAUGUGAAAGCCCUGGGCUUAACCUGGGAACGGCAUUUGAAACUGGCUGGCUAGAGUUGAGUAGAGGAGAGUGGAAUUUCAGGUGUAGCGGUGAAAUGCGUAGAUAUCUGAAGGAACACCAGUGGCGAAGGCGACUCUCUGGACUCAAACUGACGCUGAGGCACGAAAGCGUGGGUAGCAAACAGG
rnacentral:rRNA from 1 species